rnacentral:lncRNA from 1 species
UAAUUAUUUAUUCAACAAUAAACACCUCCAAAUAAAUAUUUAUAUAAUCAAUAAAUAUUUAAAUUACAAUUUAAAAUUUUGGAUCAUUACAUCCUUCCCUCCUUACAAGGAUUCUGUCCCCAGAUCACAAUUCAAACAAUCAAAUCGUCACACCCUACCUUCAUCCGAUGCAUACACCCGGUUUGACAAAUCCCUCUUAUAACAAUGGAUUCUAUACAUAAUUAAGAACAAACAUAUAAGAAUAAAACAAUCAAAGCAGAACAAACAAAUCCCAGAAAUUGGUAGUAGCAACCAAGAAAAUACCUUCUGGGAAUAUCAAAACGUUCAUAAGAAACCUGUAAUCACAAUUUUUCAGUUGGGAUCCCCUAUAUUAUAUAUAUUCCCUACGAAUUAUAUAUACCAAGGAAAUAAUAUUGAAAAGUGUGGUCACAAAUCACAAUACUACAUUUAAAAAACCCUUCCAACAACCAUUCCGCAAUAAUACCCUGCGCACAGAGAUGAUAAAAUUAGAAGGUAGCCAAUUUAUAUGGUGGCACAACCCGGUAAGAGUUUGAAAAAUGACACACGCACACACACACAACUGAAUUAAUGUUAAGAGAUUAACAAAUAAAAAAUUUCACCUUGCAGUCUGUAGCAAAUAAAAAUUACAUCCACUAAGAAUUAGUCGGUAUUAAAGUUCAUACUGAAAAAGCAUACAUAAAAAUAGCUUCUUAGACUAAUAUCUGUCUAUAUAUAGUAUUGGAAGUUUUCUCUCUCUAUAUGUAUGGAUAUCCCAUGGAGGAUAAAAUUAAUAAAUUUAGUACCUCGAUCAGAAAGUCAAAUCAAAUUCUUUCCUUUUGAUGAUUAUAGCCUCUCGUUCUUCAUGUAUUUAAUUUGGUAGAUGCUUCGAUUCCUAGCAAUACCGCACAGAAGAACAUAAAUCUCCCUCUAUAUCUCUCUAUACUAUGAAAAAACAAUAAUAUCAAAAUUUACUUGACAGAUUUAUGAUGAUUCAAUAUUUACUACAGGAACCGAGACAAAGAUCAUAUACUAUAUCAAAAGGCACAAGAAACAUAUAUGACGAAUAACAUGCAGAACUCUAGACAAACAGUACGUACUUAUAUCUUCAAGUAAGAGUAAAAGAGUCGGAAGCUUACCUUCAAACUUGAAAUAAGAGCAAUUAAGUUUUUUUUCCUUUGCCUUCUCCUGUAAAAUAAAUGGCCCCAAUGGAGAAUUCUCCUUUCCUUUUGUAUUUAAGUUAAUUCGUUAUACUGAAUUAAUUCUUGCGAUAACUUGUCCUCCUAGCUCAAACCCUUUUCCUAUUGUGGCAUCUCUCUCUUUAUAUAUCUAUCCUUGCAAUAAUUAAUAAGCGUGUUUCCAUAGAAAAACAUUGAAAUAGUUGAUUUGUUAGAACUAAUAUUGUUAAUACUAACUUAUUUAUAAUUAGAGGUCUAAUUAAGUAGUUUAAGAAAUAGAGAGAACUAUAAUAGUAGUAAUAUGACUAGUUUGUCCUCAUAUCAUAUCAUACUACAAUAAUUCGUAGGAUAUAUAUAUAUAUAUAUAUAUAUAUAUAUAUAUAUAACAUGCUUUGAGUUGAACUAAUUUUUCAGUUUAGCAAACAUCAUGCAUCCAUGAUGCCUAGACAAAGAUCAAUAAAUAUCUUGAGCAAUAAAGGUUAAUUUUUUAUAAAUAAUAAUAAUAAUUUAAUUUUUUUCAAAAAAAAAUUGCUCAACACCUGCAUACUAAUAUAGAGAUAUCUCAAGUUCAAAUAGAGAACCAACAAAAGCAACACUUACAUUUUAGCAGAAGAAUCAUGAUUUGAAUCUUCAUCUGCUCCCUGCAGUCAAGAAGCAAUAUCUCUAAGAAUACAGAAAAUGAAACAAAUAGGAAACAACAAAUAGGAAGCAAUGUAUGCUCAGCCACUAGCUUACCCGCAUGGUUCUAUCAUUGACAAACCCCCACUUUUCUUUCUGAAGAGCUAGUAUUUCUUCAUUGCCAUCAGUAUAUAAUACCUAUUACAGAUACCAAAAAUUGUAUAAAAUUCAUUAGCACUUCAAGACAAAUUAAGAACGCUGCACUUACAUAUCAGUAAUACCCAAAUAACUAUCUAAACCGAAUGGGUACCUUAUGCUUCUUCUUGUGAGGAUCAAAGGAAACAACUUCAAAUACAGAAUUUGCACUCCGACACCCUUCUAAAAUUAGUCCUAGUAGUUUUUUUGAAACAAAAGAAGCCCAUAGAUUGUAUCGAAUUAAGUUACCCCAAAAUCAAAUAUAGAAUUUACACAUUAUUAUCUGGAGAGAUUAAAAUUAAUGCCCUAAAUAAACUUACUCACCACUUCAUAGCAGAUAAAAAAAUAGUGUUCAAAAGAUGUUAAUAGAAAAUAGGGCAGGUCAUUGUUUAAGGACUCAUUCAGAAUACCCUUCAUUGUAUUAAGGUCAAAAGGACAUACCUUUUUAUAAAACCUUACAUGCAUAAAAUUGUGCCUACGUAUCUUACUCAAGAAUUGAAACUUAGUAGGCAAAUAGCACAAUGGACAGAUUUUACUUAAAGUCUAAACAGUUAAUCACUGAGUCAUCAAGAGGAAAGAUAUAGUGAUUAAUCUUUGGGAAAUUUAGCAUACAAGGGUCAAGGUCAAACGCUUCAAGCAAAAUAGUCUGAUCUAACACUAUUUUCCUACCUUACACAUAAGUAGCUAUACUAUGCAAAGUGCCAACAUCUUUUAUAAAUUCCAUAUGAUCAUAAAACUCACUAACUAAAUCCAGAUAAACACACCUACUUGAAAAAGAAAUUAGAUAAACACAACCAAUUUUCUUCAAAUUGACAAGCAAAUCAGGAUGAGAAUGAAAAAUAAUAGUAGGCCCAGUCAUGAAAUUAUACUUCAUUGCAUUAUACUUUAACUGAGCAAAUUCAGUUAGCAUGUUGGGAUCAAUUAAUGGUGUUGACAUUUUGGUUCUUUUAGAAGAAGAAGGGACAGAAAAAAAAGUGGGUUCAUAGGGAAUUAUAGCUGAUAUGGUAGAAGAUAUAAUGGUAGUAUACUAGCAUUUUUAAGCAGAUAGAUAUAUUUAUACACAAGUUCAUAUAGGAGUGGUCAUGUCAAAGUAAGGCUUUACCCAAGCAUGCAUUUCAGAAGAGAAGAGUAGGCAUGACAUAAUCCUUGAUCUGAUUUUUAGAAAUAAUUUUAAACAUUAUUCACAUAGUUCAUACAUAAUGUGUCAAUUAAAUCGAAUUUGAACAAGAAAAAUCAUAAUCAACCAUACAAACAAAUGAUAGUCGAAACAUUAAAUUUUGUCGCAUAUUUAACAUUUUGAACACACAUCUUGUUUCAAACAGAGUUUGGUUCAAAUACUAAAAUGAAAUUUUUAUACCUAGAUUACACAACAAAAGUAUCAAUUCAAAUAAAUACUAAAUAAAAGAUAUUAAAUAAUGAUCAUAACUUAAAACUCAAGAGUGAUAAAUCAAACACAAAUGAACAUAAACAUAUCUAAAAUACAAAACAAAGUCUCAACUAAAUUAGUAAAAUAAAAUUUAUGACACUUAAUUCACAAGAAGCAUAAAUCUAGAAGGUGUUGCUUCUUGCCAAUUUAAAGAUUUGUUUCAAACUAAUGAAUCAAACACUUUGAGCAUACAUUAAAAAGGCUCAUACAUACUCCUUAUAAUCUCAAAAAUGACAGACUAAAAGUUACCAUCCCUUAACCCAGUUAAGAGUAAAGAUCAUCAAAUUACCAGAAGAUGAAACUAUAUUGAUAAAUGACCCACAAAAAUGAGAGAAAAUCAAAAACCUAUAAUUACUGGAAAUCAUGAUUAACAAGGCUAUAUAUUCCAAAUUUCCAAUAGAAAACAGAGGUUGUCCACAACAAAAAAAUAAAAAUAAAGUCCCCAAAUCCAAUCUUCAUUUGUGUACAUACACGCAAUUAUUUUGCGAUGAAAAUCCAAUCACGACAAACAUCAAGAAAUCAGAGCAACUAAGAAAGACACAUAUUUAGUUUAUAAUCACCGAGAAUUGUAUAUAAAAUUAUAAAUUUCUAGAUAAAUAUAAAUAUAAUUAAAUACCUGGUGUGGUCCUUGGAAGAGGUUGUGGUGGAAAAAUUAAGGCGAUGAUGAGCAGAAAUAUCUGCAGUGUUGAGAAUAAUGGAAACAUCAUCAUCCUCCUCGGGAACUAGGGUAGGGGCAAAAAGGUUGGGGCGGUAGGCUCGCCACUCGCGAUUGGGCUGGGGAAGAGUAAUACGCAACUGGGCUGGAGAAGGGGUAGGCCACGAGUCGCGACUGGUUGCGUUAGGGGUGCCUAUUGGCGGUGAGUUGUGAGAGAGAUGAUGGCAGAUUUGGGCGCAACGGCAGUUAGGAGUAGAAGCAAAACUGAAGGGCUCAGGCUGAAGGCUGAAGGCGUACACAACUCCUGAUUAUAAUAGGAACUCGUUU